AUAAUGGCUCAGAUUUGAACGCUGGCGGCAUGCUUUACACAUGCAAGUCGGACGGCAGCACAGAGAAGCUUUGCUUUCUUGGGUGGCGAGCGGCGAACGGGUGAGUAACAUAUCGGAACGUACCGAGUAAUGGGGGAUAACUAAUCGAAAGAUUAGCUAAUACCGCAUAUUCUCUGAGGAGGAAAGCAGGGGACCUUCGGGCCUUGCGUUAUUUUGAGCGGCCGAUAUCUGAUUAGCUAGUUGGUGGGGUAAAGGCCUACCAAGGCGACGAUUCAGUAGCGGGUCUGAGAGGAUGAUUCCGCCACACUGGGACUGAGACACGGCCCAGACUCCUACGGGAGGCAGCAGUGGGGAAUUUUGGACAAUGGGCGCAAGCCUGAUUCCAGCCAUGCCGCGUGUCUGAAAAAGGCCUUCGGGUUUGUAAAGGACUUUUUGUCAGGGAAGAAAAGGACAGGGUUAAUACCCCUGUCUGAUGACGGUACCUGAAGAAUAAGCACCGGCUAACUACGUGCCAGCAGCCGCGGUAAUACGUAGGGUGCGAGCGUUAAUCGGAAUUACUGGGCGUAAAGCGAGCGCAGACGGUUACUUAAGCAGGAUGUGAAAUCCCCAGGCUCAACCUGGGAACUGCGUUCUGAACUGGGUGGCUAGAGUGUGUCAGAGGGAGGUAGAAUUCCACGUGUAGCAGUGAAAUGCGUAGAGAUGUGGAGGAAUACCGAUGGCGAAGGCAGCCUCCUGGGAUAACACUGACGUUCAUGCUCGAAAGCGUGGGUAGCAAACAGGAUUAGAUACCCUGGUAGUCCACGCCCUAAACGAUGUCAAUUAGCUGUUGGGCAACUUGAUUGCUUAGUAGCGUAGCUAACGCGUGAAAUUGACCGCCUGGGGAGUACGGUCGCAAGAUUAAAACUCAAAGGAAUUGACGGGGACCCGCACAAGCGGUGGAUGAUGUGGAUUAAUUCGAUGCAACGCGAAGAACCUUACCUGGUCUUGACAUGUACGGAAUCCUCCAGAGACGGAGGAGUGCCUUCGGGAGCCGUAACACAGGUGCUGCAUGGCUGUCGUCAGCUCGUGUCGUGAGAUGUUGGGUUAAGUCCCGCAACGAGCGCAACCCUUGUCAUUAGUUGCCAUCAUUUAGUUGGGCACUCUAAUGAGACUGCCGGUGACAAGCCGGAGGAAGGUGGGGAUGACGUCAAGUCCUCAUGGCCCUUAUGACCAGGGCUUCACACGUCAUACAAUGGUCGGUACAGAGGGUAGCCAAGCCGCGAGGUGGAGCCAAUCUCACAAAACCGAUCGUAGUCCGGAUUGCACUCUGCAACUCGAGUGCAUGAAGUCGGAAUCGCUAGUAAUCGCAGGUCAGCAUACUGCGGUGAAUACGUUCCCGGGUCUUGUACACACCGCCCGUC
rnacentral:rRNA from 1 species